UUGGAAACGGAAGCUAAUACCGCAUAACGUCUUCGGACCAAAGUGGGGGACCUUCGGGCCUCAUGCCAUCAUAUGUGCCCAGAUGGGAUUAGCUAGUAGGUGGGGUAACGGCUCACCUAGGCGACGAUCCCUAGCUGGUCUGAAAGGAUGACCAGCCACACUGGAACUGAGACACGGUCCAGACUCCUACGGGAGGCAGCAGUGGGGAAUAUUGCACAAUGGGCGCAAGCCUGAUGCAGCCAUGCCGCGUGUAUGAAGAAGGCCUUCGGGUUGUAAAGUACUUUCAGCGAGGAGGAAGGCAUUAAGGUUAAUAACCUUAGUGAUUGACGUUACUCCCAAAAAAAGCACCGGCUAACUCCGUGCCAGCAGCCGCGGUAAUACGGAGGGUGCAAGCGUUAAUCGGAAUUACUGGGCGUAAAGCGCACCCAGGCGGUCUGUCAAGUCGGAUGUGAAAUCCCCGGG
rnacentral:rRNA from 1 species